AGACAGGCCAUGCACCUCAAAACCACAAGAGUGCAUCUGUGGUUUGUCCCAGCUCUGCUUGCAUUCAGGGCAGCAAUAAAAGACAAACCGAUCCGAUGACUCCCUUAAGGACAAAAUAUGAAUGAUUAAAACAAGGAAUGGAUCCAGGAAAAGGCAAAUCGGACAUCAGAGUGUGUCUUCAACAUAUUCAACUGCUAACCAGCACGUAAAGAAUGGAUGCUUCACAAGGACAACCUGAUUAGUCACCGUAGACACCAGAUCCAGUCUGUAUCCAGAUCAGAGGGUCACUGCAGUCACCCGGAUCCAGUACAUAUCCAGACCAGAUGGUGGAUCAGCACCUAGAAAGGACCUCUACAUCCCUGAAAGACAGCGGAGACCAGGACAACUAGAGCCCCAGAUACAGAUCCCUUGUAAAGACCUUGUCUCAGACGACCACCAGGACAAGACCACAGGAAACAGAUGAUUCUUCUGCACAAUCUGACUUUGCUGCAGCCUGGAAUUGAACUACUGGUUUCGUCUGGUCAGAGGAGACCUGGCCCCCCUACUGAGCCUGGUUUCUCGCAAGGUUUUUUUUCUCCAUUCUGUCACCGAUGGAGUUUCGGUUCCUUGCCGCUGUCACCUCUGGCUUGCUUAGUUGGGGUCACUUCAUCUACAGCGAUAUCGUUGACUUGAUUGCAAAUAAAAACAGACACUAUUUCAACUGAACAGAGAUGAUAUCACUGAAUUCAAUGAUGAACUGCCUUUAACUAUCAUUUUGCAUUAUUGACUCACUGUUUUCCCAAUAAAUGUUGUUCUGUUGCUUUGACGCAAUGUAUUUUGUUUAAAGCGAUAUAUAAAUAAAGGUGACUUGACACACACAACACAUACACAGACAGAGAAAAUAUAAGAGAAAUCAAAAAGAAUCCAAAGAAUCAAAGUGCGAUCUAGAUAGAUGAGAGCCAUAGGGCAGUCUGUUUGCUAUAAUUGCAGAUAAAUUAAAUGUUCCAUAAAAUCACUCUGAUAUUGGCCUCGAGUAGAAUUUAUGUGACUAUAGAAAAGAGAUGAGAGCAGUACUGAAGGAACAGUCUCACAGUCUAGACUGUUUGAAUAAAUUCUGCAGUUUUGCUGUCCUCACCUUACAGUGUGUCCUACCCAGGUGUAAUAAGAUUCCACCAACUAGCAAUUUGUCUGU